rnacentral:rRNA from 1 species
AUGAAGAGAUUGUAUAGGGAGUUGCAUUAUUACCAUCCUUUUCAACCUGUUGAUAAGAAUGAUGUGGCUGUUCACCAUACCUGGUUUGAACCAUUUGUGGGCAAGCUCUUUCUUGAUGGCCUAAAUCAGGAGUUUGAUCUCCGCCGCCAGCUAAUAUUCUCCAAAACUGAAUGGCUAAGCCUUGAUGAUAUCAUUUCCAGUGUGAUUGAGGAGGAGACCCGUCUUGCUCAACCCAAUGAGCAUGUUCAAGAAAAAUCAGAUGCAUGUGCAGCCCUAUCCAUACAAGCUCGUCGUGCUCCUAAGACCUUUGCUAAAAUAGAUAAAAGCAAACUAUUUUGCAACCACUGGAAAAGGCUUGGACACACAAAGGAUUCAUGCUUUGAGCUGCAUGGUUAUCCAACUUGGUGGGAAAAAGGAAAAUCUCAGCCAGAGAAGGUCAAGGAGCUCAUAAAAGACAGGCGAAUCUCACUACAUCCAAGAGGGAGCUACCGGUAG